rnacentral:lncRNA from 1 species
CUUUAAUAAAGCUAUGGAACUAUGUAGAAAAAAAAUUCCACUUAAUUAUUUUGAACUGUUAUUGUAAAAGAUAAUUUCUUUGAUUAUUAAGACAUUUUGUGAAUGAUUCUUAGGGUGUAUGAUAACAACCACCCCCUUGCUAUAAGUAUGGUUUGAUAAUAUUAGCAGAUCAAGGAAUUGCUUCAUGUAGUUGCUAUAAUAACAUAACUCAAAUAAAUGUGUAGUCUCGACAACGUAGAAAUUGUUAAAAUAGGUCAUUAAAAUAGGUUAGCAAUGAUAACCAUUUUAAAUUGUCAGUUGAAACAAUAAAAUAAAGAAAAGCUCUAUAUCAAUCAAAUUGAGCACUUGAAUAGCAACACUUUGUUCAACUGAUUUUUUAGCUCACCUGGCUCAAAGUGCCAAGUGAGCUUUUCUUAUCACUUGGCGUCCAGCGUCAGUAAACUUUAAUAAAAAUCUUCUCCUCUGAAACCACUUAAAUUUCCAGACCAUUCAGGCAACCCAUUGUUGUGUUGCUGCCCCUGAAUUGGUAAUUUUAAGAAAAAAUUUCAGCUUUUGGUUAUUAUCUUGAAUAUUAUUAUAGAUAGAGAUAAACUGUAAACAGCAAUAAUGUACAUCAAAGUAAGACCUACAAAUAAAUCCACAUGUCCAAAAUGGUCAAUUGACCCCUUAAGGAGUUAUUGCCCUUUAUAAUCAAUUUUUACAAAAUAAUUUCCACUGAAACUACUGGGCCAAGUUCAUUAUAGAUGGAGAUAAUUGUAAGCAUCAUGAAUGUUCAGUAAAGUAAGAUCUACAAACACAUCACGAUCACCAAAACACAAUUUUGUCAUGAAUCCAUCUGUGUCCUCUGUUUAAUAUGCACAUAGAUCAAGGUGAGCGACACAGUCUCUUUAGAGCCUCUAGUUUUU